rnacentral:rRNA from 1 species
AGUGAACGCUGGCGGUAGGCCUAACACAUGCAAGUCGAACGGCAGCACAGUAAGAGCUUGCUCUUACGGGUGGCGAGUGGCGGACGGGUGAGGAAUACAUCGUAAUCUACUUUUUCGUGGGGGAUAACGUAGGGAAACUUACGCUAAUACCGCAUACGACCUACGGGUGAAAGCAGGGGAUCUUCGGACCUUGCGCGAUUGAAUGAGCCGAUGUCGGAUUAGCUAGUUGGCGGGGUAAAGGCCCACCAAGGCGACGAUCCGUAGCUGGUCUGAGAGGAUGAUCAGCCACACUGGUACUGAGACACGGUCCAGACGCCUACGGGAGGCAGCAGUGGGGAAUAUUGGACAAGGGGCGCAAGCCUGAUCCAGCCGUACCGCGUGGGUGAAGAAGGCCUUCGGGUUGUAAAGCCCUUUUGUUGGGAAAGAAAAGCAGCAGGUUAAUACCCCGCUGUUCUGACGGUACCCAAAGAAUGAGCACCGGCUAACUUCGUG